CGCGUAGGCGGUCUCUUAAGUCAGAUGUGAAAGCCCGGGGCUUAACCCCGGAAGUGCAUUUGAAACGAAGGGGCUUGAGUAUGGGAGAGGGAAGUGGAAUUCCUGGUGUAGCGGUGAAAUGCGUAGAUAUCAGGAGGAACACCGGUGGCGAUGGCGACUUCCUGGACCAAUACUGACGCUGAGGCGCGAAGGCGUGGGGAGCAAACA
rnacentral:rRNA from 1 species